rnacentral:rRNA from 1 species
AUUGAACGCUGGCGGCAUGCCUUACACAUGCAAGUCGAACGGCAGCACGGACUUCGGUCUGGUGGCGAGUGGCGAACGGGUGAGUAAUGUAUCGGAACGUACCUUUCAGUGGGGAUAACGUAGCGAAAGUUACGCUAAUACCGCAUAUUCUGUGAGCAGGAAAGCAGGGGAUCGCAAAGACCUUGCGCUGAUUGAGCGGCCGAUAUCAGAUUAGCUAGUUGGUGAGGUAAAGGCUCACCAAGGCGACGAUCUGUAGCGGGUCUGAGAGGAUGAUCCGCCACACUGGAACUGAGACACGGUCCAGACUCCUACGGGAGGCAGCAGUGGGAAUUUUGGACAAUGGGGCAACCCUGAUCCAGCCAUGCCGCGUGAGUGAAGAAGGCC